AUUGAAGCUUGCUUGAGAGGUAAGCUUCAAAACCCUUUAAUGGUAGAACUCUAAGGAUUGAUCCUUAUGCUCUAAAAAUGGUUUUAAUAGAAUUCUAGCAUGCUAAAUAGAUGAUUAUUGCUAGAAUCUAGGAUCAAUUUAAUUAAUUCUUGCCUAGUUAUAAACCUAGGGCUCGAAAUGCAAUUUUUGAAAAUAUGAGGGUUUGAUCUCAUUUAACCCUCUGGAAACCUAAUUGAUAGGUCACUGAACGCGUCGGAAGCGACGGUUCGGCGAUUCGUCGAGCCAGUGCGAAGUUAUUAAAGAAACGGACGUUUAGGCUUCGUUUCCGCCUGGAGGGCCGAGGCGACGUCGUAAAAUCCUGGAAACGGAUUUGAAGCAUCGUAAUAGGAAACCGAAGACCUUUAAUUUUCGGAUCGCGGAUCGGAGGUCGUUUGGUUGUCGCGCGCGUGGAUUGGGUCAAGCCGAGCGGCGUGCGCCGCGGGAGGCCGAUUGCGAGUGACGACGAGCAAUCGGAACGCGAUAAAAGGUGGGUGGUGUCCAUCCCGAAUCAAUCGGGCUCCUUUUUAUGUCUAAGUUUUAUAUUGAUCAAAUUGCAUAUUGACAUCUUGCAUUAUAGGGUGAUAAAUGAUGGUUUGGUCCUAUACCUUGCAUGUUCUUUGGUAGAAUAAUGUAUUUGGCUUAGUACUUAUAUCUAACAUGCUUGAGGUUUAUAUAUGUGAUGUGGAACCCUAUAAUGAGAUGAUAAGUGUGGAUGGGAAUUUAAUAAUGCAUUGGCUAUUGCAUUGAAAACUUGUAAAGAACGAGUGGCAUCUAGUUGAUAGUAAACAAAGAACAAAUGACACCUAUGAGUCAUAGUGUAUAUGAAACCUAUGGGCUAUAUGAUGGUUGUAACCCUAGAGGAUAGGGUAUUCUCGAGACGAGGAUUGGAUCAUGCUCACGGUCUGUUUUUAAAUCUUGUGAUGGAAGCCCCACACAAGUAGUGCGCUCCGGAGUUGGUCACGUGGGAUUGCCGAUUUCGGGUCCCAAGGGAUUGCCUAUUUUAGGCCCCGCCAGACGGUCUCGGUUCGUAGUGCGAGUUGACCCUCCCUACCUUCGAGAUGGCUAGUGAGCAGUAGGCUCCUUCAGGGAAGCCACGAGAUUAAGAAACAAGUAAAUGAGAUUGGUGAACGAGUAAAUAACUUUACCUUUGGACAUGAUAAUGGGAUUGUUGUUUAUCCAUUUCAUUGUACAUGCAUUCAUAUAUUUAUGAUUGGGCAUAGUAGCGUAGCUUUACUGCUGUCAUUUACCGCUUUCCUUAUCUAUCUAUCUAUCGAUUAUCUACUUGUGCCCAACUUGGACCUAGUGGGGAGAUCGGCGGAGUCGGCGGCCGAACCCACUGGGAACUAAGGAAGUUAGUUCUCACCCCCAUUUUACUACAGGGCCGAGCGCGAGUUCACACGGCGAGGAUCGCGGUAAGGGCCUAGCGCCCUAGUUGCAUUAGUUUACUUUCCUAUUUCUGCAUUAGAGUUACCUUUAUAUACAUUGAGAGUAGAUGAUGUAUAGGAUGUGAGAUAUUCUGGAAUGAAUGUAAGCUAAUGUUUGUAAUUUGGAAGAUGUAAGCUUUAUAUUAUGUUUAGAAGCUUAAUGCAUAAUCAAGUUGUAUUAUAAAGGCUGAAUGAAUGUAAUAGAUAGAUGUUUCUCUCUUUAUCAUUACUUGUAUGUUCUAUACUUGUAUCUUGCUCUUAGUUGUUUAGCACUGAUUGUGCUCCCCUCGUAGUUGUUAAGUGAUCAUGUAUGUAUUCAAGUGAUUUCCUGGGAACUUGUUGUACAUGAUCU
rnacentral:lncRNA from 1 species